AAAGGAUAGUUGGAAUGGGUAUGAAUGAAGAAGAGCUUAAACGAAAUGCAGUUCUAACAGAGUAUGUAGUUCAAGACUUGAACGAUAAUCCUAAGCUCCCAUUUGGAGACAAUACUUUUGAUGUUAUAACCAAUGUGGUUAGUGUAGAUUAUUUAACGAAGCCUCUUGAUGUUUUCAAAGAAAUGUCGCGUGUACUGAAACAUGGUGGACUUGCA
rnacentral:misc_RNA from 1 species